GGGGGUCACAAACUCGUCAUUUGACCAAUCACAGUUGCAGAGAGUAUGGUGCCUACACUGAAUAUGACUACUGGUUCAUCUUGCUGCAGUUUUGAGCUUAAAGAGCAAGUCACCCCCAAAUCAACUGUUUUGUUGCUGAUAAACUAUAUAAAUGAGUGACUAACUGUGCUGUAGACACGUUUAGUCAAUAAUUUGGUGCUUUAGUGCAUCUUUGUUAAAAUUUAAAUAUUCUGCCUAAAACUGCCAGGCUACAGUGUUGCACCCUCUUCAGGUAAAAACUCUGCACUACAUUUGAAUUUAAAUCUGCCAUCGCUUUUGGCUGGUACCAUAUGAUGUCACAAUGUCGUCGUGAGACUGUAUGUGUGUAUUUGUUAGCGGCUCUACCCUCUCGGUCUGCCAGGCAACAGCAUGUGUUGCAUUUUUCAAACAGGAAGUGAGAGUGGAGGAAGACUCUAGUAGGGGGUGACUUGCUCUUUAAAGUGUGUCGAAUCAAACAAAAUCACCAGUAAAUAACAGUUUUCUGUCAAGGGCUUUCAGCCUUUAUAGAUGUUUUCCGAGGCUCGUCUUGAUUUGUUUUUGGAGUCGGAUUUGGAGUAUAACGUAAACACAGAUGGUAUUUAUCCCCAUUAAAAUGUAAUAUUAGCAACAUAAAUACUUUUUUCUGGUAAGAAACAGCCACUGGUGUGCUACAGCCUUACUCUUUUAAAGAACAUCCCCAUAUAUUGAUCUGCACACCGGAAGAUUUUAAGGACGCUGGAGAUAAAGAUGAUUUCAUUAUAUUGUAACAUUUCUGCAGCAAAGCCAGGGGACACCACAGAGUGGGCUAUCACCUUUUUCCACUUCGUUCGAGUGAGUGGGUAUGUACCGGUAUGUAGAUUUUAGCACAAAAAUUUCUGUUUCUUGUUUUUCUGAAGGAUUUCAGAGAUUUUUUUUUGUUCAAAAUGUAACAUUUUAAAUAUGUUAAAAUUUGAUGAAUUUAAAAGAAAGAAUACGUUUUAUUACAAUGAAGUCAAAAUGUGAUUAAAGUCACUAGUCCUGUUCGAAAGUAACCAUUUCACAUAAAUCCGUUUUGAAACAUCUGCUGUGUUUGAUUUGGAUUAUUUUAAUGUUUGUUUUUUCUGAUUAUUAUACGAGCUUUGUUCCUAAUACAUCGCAGUCCAACCUCUCCUGUUUCACUGCUGUCUUCGAUUUCUUUUACUGAGAAAGGACAGCACUCCUUCACGCUUUUCUGCACAGAUCUUAAAGCGGUAUUUCGGAGUCGAUACAUAUCACGUCCAAGACCCCACUAACGGGGCACUAUUUUAGCCUUACUUGGACCUUGACGCUAUGUUUCCCCAUCUUUUAGGCUUUUGCACUCUCUCUUAAUCUUAACUUUGUUCUUUUUACAUACUUUUACCCCUUGAACUGUUUUUAUUGAGCGUUUUAUUUUCUGUUAAUUUUUUAUUGGCCACAUUUGAUUACUGUAGCUUUUAUGAUCUUCUUGAUUUGACUGCAGAGCACCUUGGUCAGCUGCCUUGCUGUGUUUUAAAUGUGCUUUAUAAAUAAAGGAUGGACGGGGUCUCACACUGGUGCUGCUGGGAUUAUCCCGACUAAAUCACCAGAAUUUGUUGAUCAAAGUCUUUUUAUUAAACUUCCUGACCCACCCCACUUAACCCAAACACAGUGGAUCAGUUCAGAGAAACAAACAUAAAACAGGUCUCACAGUGACACUAAAUCAAAACAAAAGAAACUAUCUAAAUAUUAUCCACAGACACACUGUCAAAAUAAAACAUAACUGAUAACCUAAUGAUGUUAAAAUUCUUGACCGAGCCAUUCAAACUAUGUGUGAUCUUUUCCAGGUGGAUAGGGGGUGUAGCCAAUGCAACCCAGUAACCGCAUGCUGGUGGGUGAGAGUAUAAAUCUUUUGGCCAGCAAACAGCAAAAGGUGACCACAUUUAAUCGGGGUGUGUCCAGAGUCUCAUUAUCUUAAUUAAGCUUUAAAAAUGUCUUAAUGUUUCUUUAAAUCUUCUUGGGUAUGUUAAUAUUAAGGAGUCGUCGACGGAGAAGAAUGAACCUGAUUUAUAAAGUUUAAAGACCUCCUUAAUAGAAACACUUCCUCUGAAUUCUUCCACUGUUGUUGCUUUGAAAGAAUUGGGAUUUUUACGCCCUCUUUAAACAUCUUUGGUGUGUUCUUGCCGUGUUGAGUUUCAAAUUCCAUCUUUCAGUUCUUUUUAAAACACAGAAAAGGUUUAUUUACCUGCAACGUUUCGUUGCCGAUGUUGGCGUCACUUCCUUCGUUUAUCCACCAUCCACCGUGACACCAUCGGCGUCAGCCUGAUGAUGUUUGCAGCCGCAAACGAAACGCUGCAGGUAAAUAAACCUUUUCUGUUUUAAAAAUAACUGAAAGAUGGAAUUUUCCGCCCUCUGCAGGCCAAAAACAGAACAACACUCUGGCAUACAACAGCCCAUAGAAAUGAAGGGGAGAUGGGGGUUGCUGCCCUCUAGUGUCCAAGAUCGUAUACUGCGCUUUAGUUUAUUUUAGCCAUUUAGAAGAGAAUACUAUAGCCUCCUUAUUUUAAUGAAGCUUUACAUAAUCCUAAUCUAUCUUUGAAUCUUUUUGGGAAUGUUAUUAAGAAGGAGUCGUCGAAGGAGAAGUAUGAACUGGAUUUAUAAAGUUUAAAGACUUCCUUAGUGGAAAAACUUCCUCUAAAUUCUUCCAAACACUGUCAGAUUUCAAAGUAAUGAAAUUAAAAGUUUAUAAAUUAAGUAAUCAGCAACUGAACAAAAAUGCAGUUUAUUUAACUGCUUGUUCACUGUCUAAAUAAAUGUUUACAAGAGUUGUUUAGUACAGUGGUUCCCAACCUUUUUCCCAAGGGACCCCGUUUUUUACCAGUAAAAAUUUUUGACGACCCCCUCCCAUUCUCUCUUCCAGUACAAACAUUAUUAAUAAAUGAUAAAAUUGUUCAAGCACAUUUUAAUAUGCUGUGAUUCAAUAGAUAACAGUAAUAGUAGGCUCCAGUACAGAACAAAGUCAUUAACAAAACCAAGCAGAGCAUAAUGUGCUUGACAGUUUGUAUUACUUUUCUGAACACAUUGUUUCUUGUAAACACAUAAAUCAAUCAUUCCUUUCAAUAAACGUUUGACACAUAAAAAAUACACUGAGCAAAACGUACUUAAAUGUGCAUAUUACUGUUUAUACUAGACUAUUUACUGUAAAGGCUGUGAUUAAUCAACCAGUCCUAUCUUUAAUGAACUUUUGACACUUGAAAAUAAAACAGUGAGCUGAGCAAAAUGUUCUUAAAAGUGUGUUACUUUUUCUGUACUAAUUAUUUCCUGUCUUAAUAUCAGUAAACUUUUCACUCAUGAAAAAAAUGUGAGCAAAAUGUAGGCUUUAAACAAGUAAUAAAUGAAGUUUUAACCCCUUAAAGUGGAGAGGUCCUGGCGACCCACUGAGAGGCUUUGGCGCCCCCUUGUGGGGGUCGGGACCCCCAGGUUAGGAACCACUGGUUUAGUACACAAACAUCCUAAGUGUGUCAUAAUGCAACCUGACCUGUGCAUCCCAGAUACUGUGGCGGCAGCAGCUCAAGUGCUCAAUUAUCCAAUCUGAUAAAGAUCUUCACGUAAUCCACGGCAGCUUCCAGGUUGUUGAAUAUUUCACCCUCUCCAUCGUGGGUGACACUGAGCCUUGCUGGAAAGAGCAGCCCGUAUCUCACAUCCCACCAACCUCAGAGUAUCCUCUCAUCAGCAAACACAGCAAAAUCAACAGACUUGUCACAGCGGUCUGAAACUCAAACUUUGGAAGCUGUUGUGACCCUUAAAAUUUCUAAUCAGGGGGGGGGAAAUUGCUGAAACGACAGCAAGAUUGAUUCAACAGUCAAUGUUUAACUCAAAAUCUGAAAUUUCUGUGUUUAAGUCAAAAAGAUCCUACAACACCAGUGUUCUUUAGCACAUCUGAGCAUAAAAAGACCAAAGUCCAGGUCAGAACCAGGUUUUAGGUUUAUUGGAUGAGUUUCCAUGCAGUUAGUCAGGACAUGGUAAGACUGAAGAUCAAGAACAUCAGCAGACGUAUAACUAGAACUAAAACAGGAUGUAUUUGUUUCUCCUUAAAAACAUUGAGUCGGAGCUGAAGAAAAAAAAUGUGGUUUAAAUGUAAAAUUAAAAAAUGUCAUUAAUCAAAAAGAAUAAAUAAAAUAUAAAACAUUUUUGGAAAAUCAAAUGACUAUGUUUCAUGAAAACUGUUAAGUUUUCUAAAUUAUUUUGAUAAGAUCAAUAGUUAUUUGUUCUAAAUUUUGGGAAACAUGAUAUUCCAGGUUCAUAAAAAUUUUGCUGAUUUCUUUUUAAGAUCUAAAAAUCAGAAAAAAAUCCAGGUGGAAUUUUUGUAAAAAAUAAAAUAAAAAUUGGUCAUUUUUGUCCUGGCUGGCCAGUUUGUGUCAUUUAUUAAAAAAAAUUAAAUAAAAAAAA